GUAUAUAACUUUAUGGGCAUAAAAGACCCAGAUCAACAUUCUAUUACAUUCGUAGGAGUAUGUGAAUAACAUAGAACCUAGAGAGACAAGGAAAAGCUGGCACUUCAUUACAAAGGCACAGCAGUCCCCAAAACCUAUCCCGAUUGCUCAAGACAAUUUGCAUUCUCUAAGGUCUACAAAAAGGUGCACAGGUGGAAAUAAAUAAAUAAAUGACAAGCGUGCACAACUACCCUAGAAGGGCCAGCAACAGCCUAUCAAGUGUUUAUUCAAUAAUGAUCCUUCCGCAGGUUCACCUACGGAAA
rnacentral:misc_RNA from 1 species